rnacentral:rRNA from 1 species
AACGAACGCUGGCGGCAGGCCUAACACAUGCAAGUCGAACGCUCGUAGCAAUACGGGAGUGGCGCACGGGUGAGUAACGCGUGGGAACGUGCCCUUUAGUUUGGGAUAACAGCUGGAAACGGCUGCUAAUACCAAAUACGCCCUUCGGGGGAAAGAUUUAUCGCUAAAGGAUCGGCCCGCGUAAGAUUAGGUAGUUGGUGGGGUAAUGGCCUACCAAGCCUACGAUCUUUAGCUGGUCUGAGAGGAUGAUCAGCCUCACUGGAACUGAGACACGGUCCAGACUCCUACGGGAGGCAGCAGUGGGGAAUAUUGGACAAUGGGGGAAACCCUGAUCCAGCCAUGCCGCGUGAACGAUGAAGGCCUUAGGGUUGUAAAGUUCUUUUGUCAGGGAAGAUGAUGACGGUACCUGACGAAUAAGCACCGGCUAACUUCGUGCCAGCCGCCGCGGUAA